GAGUUCUCAACCAAGCCCUUGGGUUUGGCUUGGAUCUGGAGGCUGCUGGCGGAGGUCGGCUCUUCUGAAAUGCAUUAGCGAUCGGACCUACUACGGCCUUCCGGCGUGAUAACGAUCGUCGACGGGCUGGGACUGGCUUUGGUCGCUUCCAACGAUAUAUAUUAUAAUAUAU
rnacentral:misc_RNA from 1 species